rnacentral:rRNA from 1 species
UACGGAGGGGGCUAGCGUUGUUCGGAAUUACUGGGCGUAAAGCGCACGUAGGCGGUUUCGUAAGUCGGAUGUGAAAACUCCAGGCUCAACUUGGAGACGCCAUUCGAUACUGCGAUGACUUGAGUCCGGUAGGGGAGUGUGGAAUUCCUGGUGUAGCGGUGAAAUGCGCAGAUAUCAGGAGGAACACCGGCGGCGAAGGCGGCACUCUGGGCCGGUACUGACGCUGAGGAGCGAAAGCGUGGGUAGCAAACAGG